GGUUGUUUGGACCGAGUGGUCAAAGGCUCCAGACUCAAAAUCUGCGAUAUCAUGGGUUCAAAUCCCAUAACAACCA